AGUUCGGUCCGGGCAAUCGCUCACUUUAAAGUUUUAUGGUGGGAGGAAAGUCCGAGCUUCAUAGAACAGGGUGCCGGGUAACACCCGGAGUCUCGCUUAGCGGGAUAUUGACAGUGCCACAGAAAAUAAACUUCCCCGUGAGAUUUUCAUUUCACGGUUUAUUGAGAUUUUUUUAGAGUUUAUCUCACGGGGUAAAGGUGAAAAGGUGGGGUAAGAGCCCACCGCUACAUUGGUAACAAUGCAGGCAUGGUAAACCACACCCGAAGCAAGAUCAAAUAGGGAAACCGUUUUCCGGUUUACCGGAAAUCAGGGUUGUUCGCUCUGGAGGUUUCCGGGUAGAUCGCUGGAUUCCAUCAGUAAUGGUGGAACAAGAUAAAUGAUUGCCAUCCUGUGGGAUGUUGCUGCAAAGCGGAUAUCUCAUGAGAUACAGAACUCGGCUUACAGGACUGGACUUUUU
rnacentral:RNase_P_RNA from 1 species